UCACACGUGCUACAAUGGGUGGUACAAAGAGAAGCCAACUCGCGAGAGCGCGCCAAUCUCAAAAAGCCAUCCUCAGUUCGGAUUGGAGUCUGCAACUCGACUCCAUGAAGUUGGAAUCGCUAGUAAUCGCGGAUCAGCAUGCCGCGGUGAAUACGUUCCCGGGCCUU
rnacentral:rRNA from 1 species